rnacentral:rRNA from 1 species
AUUGAACGCUGGCGGCAGGCCUAACACAUGCAAGUCGAGCGGAGCGGCGGACGGGUGAGUAAUGCCUAGGAAUCUGCCUGGUAGUGGGGGAUAACUUCGGGAAACGGGCGCUAAUACCGCAUACUAUAAGAUGACCCUCGGGCGGAUUAGCUAGUUGGUGGGGCAAAGGCUUACCAAGUCGACGAUCCGUAACUGGUCUGAGAGGAUGAUCAGUCACACUGGAACUGAGACACGGUCCAGACUCCUACGGGAGGCAGCAGUGGGGAAUCUUGGGCAAUGGGCGAAAGCCUGAUCCAGCCACGCCGCGUGUGUGAAGAAGGUCUUCGGAUUGUAAAGCACUGUAAGUUGGGAGGCGUUACCAACAGAAUAAGCACCGGCUAACUUCGUGCCAGCAGCCGCGGUAAUUC